GACGAACGCUGGCGGCGUGCUUAACACAUGCAAGUCGAACGGAAAGGCCCUGCUUUUGUGGGGUGCUCGCGUGGCGAACGGGUGAGUAACACGUGAGUAACCUGCCCUUGACUUUGGGAUAACUUCAGGAAACUGGGGCUAAUACCGGAUAGGAGCUCCUGCUGCAUGGUGGGGGUUGGAAAGUUUCGGCGGUUGGGGAUGGACUCGCGGCUUAUCAGCUUGUUGGUGGGGUAGUGGCUUACCAAGGCUUUGGCGGGUAGCCGGCCUGAGAGGGUGGACGGCCACAAUGCGACUGAGAGACGGCCCAGACUGCUACGGGAGGCAGCAGUGGAGAAUAUUGCACAAUGGGGGGAAGCCUGAGGCAGCAACGCCGCGUGCGGGAUGACGGCCUUCGGGUUGUAAACCGCUUUCGCCUGUGACGAAGCGUGAGUGACGGUAAUGGGUAAAGAAGCACCGGCUAACUACGUG
rnacentral:rRNA from 1 species